rnacentral:lncRNA from 1 species
ACCGGUCUAAGCUAAAUAGAAAGCUGAAUAAAGGAAAACAGCGAUGCUAAAAGGCAGCGAAAACAAGAAUAUACUGAUUCAACGACAUCAAAGCAAGCAUACGAGAAGGAAAAUAGCAAAUCGAUUUCAAACAGAGGAGUAAAAGAGCAAUGAUACUAAAUACAUAACACAAAACUGAAUCAAUAUAAAGACUCAAUCAUAGUAAUCAACUAAGAACAAUGCAUCAUAUCAAUACAUCAUUAACUCGGCACAUGACAAUGAGCCAGCCGCAGAACAAACAUUUUCCGACAUCGGAAAAUACCACAUCAAAAUAAAUGAAGAGACGAGAAUACUAUGAAGGGGGAAACAUUACCUUUUUUCGGGCAGCGACUGAGACGACGAGUUGAAACGAACUAUUUCN